ensembl:snRNA U2 U2 spliceosomal RNA
AUCGCUUCUUGGCCUUUUGGCUAAGAUCAAGUGUAGUAUGAAAUUUGCUGAGCAACACAAACUGUGGAAUGAAUGAUAAUGAAUUCAGCCUUUAUAUUAUUUUUCUUUCCUUAUCCUUUAUCAGGCUGUGUUCUAGAUUCUCAGAAAGGAACCACUGUGGGGAGAUCCUUUUCUCUCAGCUGGCGGAGCCACC